rnacentral:rRNA from 1 species
UACGGAGGGUGCAAGCGUUAUCCGGAUUCACUGGGUUUAAAGGGUGCGUAGGCGGGUUGGUAAGUCCGUGGUGAAAUCUCUGAGCUUAACUCAGAAACUGCCAUGGAUACUAUUUGUCUUGAAUAUUGUGGAGGUAAGCGGAAUAUGUCAUGUAGCGGUGAAAUGCUUAGAUAUGACAUAGAACACCAAUUGCGAAGGCAGCUUACUACACAGUUAUUGACGCUGAGGCACGAAAGCGUGGGGAUCAAACAGG